rnacentral:rRNA from 1 species
UACGAAGGGGGCUAGCGUUGCUCGGAAUCACUGGGCGUAAAGGGUGCGUAGGCGGGUCUUUAAGUCAGGGGUGAAAUCCCAGAGCUCAACUCUGGAACUGCCUUUGAUACUGGGUGUCUGGAGUAUGGAAGAGGUGAGUGGAAUUCCGAGUGUAGAGGUGAAAUUCGUAGAUAUUCGGAGGAACACCAGUGGCGAAGGCGGCUCACUGGUCCAUUACUGACGCUGAGGUGCGAAAGCGUGGGGAGCAAACAGG